ensembl:lncRNA
AAAAAGGGGGAAAAAGGUAAGACAAUUCGGUGUGUGUGAAUUCUUCAGAGUAAUGCGGAGCAUUGUGAGAUAUCUUGCGGACUUUGAAUAUUUCAAAUCCUGUACAUACGUUCGGUGAGUCGCUAGACUGUGUGUGUGUUAUAAUUAAUUUAAUAUCCAUAACUGCUGUAUAGUGGACAAAAAUAAAAAUAAAAAUGAUAUUAAUAUAUUGUGUGAUCCAGGAACAGGAAAACUGAAGGUGGGAGAAAAGUGUAUAUUGUCGGGCCAUUAUUGAGAAAUGACUGCCACAGGGCCUAGACGGGGGAGGAGGUUCCUAACUCAGGACGGAGAAAGUAGGCGGCUACGGCAUCCACAGGGACACAAUGGAGCCCGCGUGAAAGAGAUACAAAACGAUGCAGGAGCAAGUGAAAUUUUGUCCUGGUUAAAACGGGGGGCUCAAACAGACGGUGCGGGGAU